rnacentral:rRNA from 1 species
GACGAACCGUGCGAACGUUGUUCGGAAUCACUGGGCUUAAAGGGCGCGUAGGCGGGCGGGCAAGUCAGGGGUGAAAUCCCACGGCUCAACCGUGGAAGGGCCCUUGAUACUGCCCAUCUCGAGGGAGGUAGGGGCGUGCGGAACUUCCGGUGGAGCGGUGAAAUGCGUAGAUAUCGGAAGGAACACCGGUGGCGAAAGCGGCUCACUGGUCCGGUACUGACGCUGAGGUGCGAAAGCGUGGGGAGCAAACAGG